rnacentral:rRNA from 1 species
AUUGAACGCUGCGGCAGGCCUAACACAUGCAAGUCGAGCGAGCGGCGGACGGGCGCGUAAUGCUUAGGAAUCUGCCAAUUCGUGGGGGAUAACCUCACGUACGGGAUGCUAAUACCGCAUACUAAUAGAUGCGGCUAAGUCGGAUUAGGUAGUGGGUGGGGUAAAGGCCUACCAAGGCGACGAUCUGUAGCGGGUCUGGGAGGAUGAUCCGCCACAAUGGGACUGAGACACGGCCCAGACUCCCACGGGAGGCAGCAGUGGGGGAUAUUGGACAAUGGGGGGAAACCUGAACGAGGCAUGCCGGGUGUGUGAAGAAGGCCUUUUGGUUUGAAAGCACUUUAAGCGAGGGGGCGUUACUCGCAGAAUAAGCACCGGCUAACUCUGUGCCAGCAGCCGCGGUAAUAC